CCUACGGGAGGCAGCAGUGAGGAAUAUUGGUCAAUGGACGAGAGUCUGAACCAGCCAAGUAGCGUGAAGGAUGACUGCCCUAUGGGUUGUAAACUUCUUUUAUAUGGGAAUAAAAUGUUCCACGUGUGGGAUUUUGUAUGUACCAUAUGAAUAAGGAUCGGCUAACUCCGUGCCAGCAGCCGCGGUCAUACGGCGGAUCCGAGCGUUAUCCGGAUUUAUUGGGUUUAAAGGGAGCGUAGGUGGAUUGUUAAGUCAGUUGUGAAAGUUUGCGGCUCAACCGUAAAAUUGCAGUUGAAACUGGCAGUCUUGAGUACAGUAGAGGUGGGCGGAAUUCGUGGUGUAGCGGUGAAAUGCUUAGAUAUCACGAAGAACUCCGAUUGCGAAGGCAGUUCACUGGACUGCAACUGACACUGAGGCUCGAAAGUGUGGGUAUCAAACAGGAUUAGAUACCCUAGUAGUC
rnacentral:rRNA from 1 species